UUGCUUCAGCAGCAUGUGUACUAAAAGUGGAAAAAUACAAAGAAGAUUACCAUGUAACCACACAAAUAUGACACACACAUUUGUGAAGCAUUCCAUAUUUUU
rnacentral:snRNA from 1 species